GUGCGAAAUAGGUGAGAGCCUCGAAAAGUUCGUCCUUUUUUACCUGUAUGGGUCUAUGUAUCUUUGUUUAAUUUUAUGUUAAAAUUGCGUUUUAAAAUGAAAAUUUUAGUUUUUAUUUCAGUAACUGUUACCUGCCACAUUUCGUUCGUUGAGAUGGCUCACUUUCCGCUGCAUGCUGCUCUCCCAUACAAAUUUGUGUUGCCAACGGUAAAUGUAAGUGAGAACGGAUUUAAGCCACAUUGCUGCAAAGAAAAUUCCCAUGUUGCGGGAGUUCCCCAAAAGGAAAAUUGAAAAAACAUUCGGAUGGGAGUUUCG
rnacentral:lncRNA from 1 species